UCCCUGGUGGUCCAGUGGUUAGGACUUCCCACUGUCAGUGCUAAGGGCCCAGGUUCAAUCCCUGGUUGGGGAC
rnacentral:tRNA from 1 species